rnacentral:tRNA from 6 species
GGUAAUGGCCGGGAUAGCUCAGUUGGUAGAGCA